ensembl:lncRNA
GCCAUGUUUGCGGGACGGAGGGGGCCCGAGCCAGCCACUUCCUGUCACCCAGAUGACACAUUGCCCCUGCUUGCAUUUAUACCUGCAGUCUUGGAUCUGAUCGUCCUUUCUAAACACAGGAUCCCUAGACUUGGAGAGUCAAGCUGUUCCUGUAAAUCUGGUGUAGAGCACCCCAGAAGAGCCUGGGUGUGGCACUUAGGAGGAGGUGGCCGGGACGUGAGCCAGAGAUCAGCCCUGAGAUGCUGGAGAGAAUCCCGGUGCUCCGAAGCCUACGAGAGCGAGAGAGGCGGGCUGGGAAGGACGUCAGCCUGUGGGCCGAUCUCCCGCACCCGGCACCCCUGUGCACCGUCGUGGGACCCCAGCUCGCACCCCGGCCAGGGUUGAGUGUCCCGGGGGCAGCCUCUGGCAGGAUGGGCAGCCCCCAGCAGCGGAGCCACGCUGGACAGACACAGGCCCUCCGCCACCGGCGUCUCUGACAGGACACUGCCGCCCUGUCCAUGGCUGUGCACACAGUGAGUGCGGAGCGGCUGCAGGCUCCUCGGUUGGCUGCGCACAACGGCGGCCUCUGUGCCCGGCCCAGCCACACUGUGCAGAAGGGGCCCGCACUCUGUGCCCAGGGCGCAGGCCGGGCGGCAACCUCAGGACGCAGGCGCCCUCUGGCCCGCGCCCCCCAGGCCCUGGCCACCCCCCAGGUGCUCUUCACCCCACUUUCCCGUUUUCCCACAGUGACCGCUGUGCCCGAGGGUGUCCAGGAGUCCUGGGCAUUGGAUAGCAGAGGCGGACACAUGGCCCUCACCCCACAUCCCAGCUCCCGUGUCCAGCCUGCCCAAGGCCAGCUCAGCCCUCAGUUGGGAGGCACAGCGCUAGGUGGCCACUCCUGGCGCUGGGGAGCCAGGCUGCUGGGUCCCCUCACUCGGGACCAGGACAAUCCAGAUUGCUGGGCAGGUAGCCGGAAGCGGUCUGUCACUUUAUAUCUGUGGAGGUGGUACCAGAAAACUAGAAAUGGCCCCAAACGUGUCCACCCUCAGAUCUCCCACUGCCCCUUGCUUCCUCGAGGGGCAGCUCUUGUCCACACCAGGCAGGAGUCCCGGCCACAGAUGUGAUGGCAGGCUCCCAGGCACUCAGCAUCAUGAGGCACACUUCACGUGAGGGUGAUGUGGGGCAUGGGGGGAGCUCCCACGGGCACGGGGUCCCAUCCUGAGUGGGGAGCAGUGUUGCCACGGGACGACACCACCUGCAGAAGCUGCAGCUGUGGACCCUAGAAGUGUACCUUCAGCUCCACGGGGGAGUGCAGAGUCUGGUCCACUGCCCCCUCCUGAGUGGUGCCGGGUCAGGGUGGCCAGGGGUGCACCUUCCUCCUCAUCCUCAGGCCCAGCUGGUCACCUCCACUUGAAUUUUCCUAUGUGCCAGGGGGUGGCACAGGUCUGUCAUCCCAGCACUCUGGGAGGCUGGGGCAGGAGGAUCGUGAGUUUGAGCAGCUUCGUGAGACCCUGUCUCAAAAUAAAAAAGGUAAA